rnacentral:lncRNA from 1 species
UGACUCUGUGGGUAAAGGUGCUUGCUACCAAGCCUGGCAGCCUGGGUUCGAUCCCUAAUACCCACAUGGUAGGAAAAUAGAACCAGCUUCCACAAGUUGUCCUCUGAAUUCCACGUGAGAUCACCUCCCCCAAAUAAAUAAUUACAUACAUCCAUAAAAUAAGUAAAGUAGUUAUAUACAGUGCCUAAUUCAAUGGCUAUUGAUGUUAAUAAUAAUUUGUAUUAUUUGGGAAAUAACAAGAAACUAUCUGUGUACAUCAAGUUUCAUUUUCUAGACUAUUUCCCACCUGUAGUUGUUGGAUCUGCAGAUUCAGGACCCAUGUGUGGGCAGGGCUCAAUGUAUUUCCCCUUUUAUCUUUCCUCCAGGAUUUCCCAGCUCCCCACCAAAGAACCUCCUUUUAGACAGAUGCUUUGCCCCACAACCUCCCCUCUACUCCGAACCAAGGAGCCCUCCAUUCUUCCAUGCCCCAGCUGUAUCCUGUGCUCUUGAACGUCACUUAAACUUUCCUGGUUCCCUUUGCCCAGUACCUUGUCUGUGAAACUUGUUCUGAUGAGAGAAGGGUCCUGACUCUGCCCUGUCCAUGCUCCUUGGUUAGCAGAGCGAGGACCAUAACCCACCCUCCAUCCUCCAGAGCACACUCAUAGAUGCCCCUUUGCAGGCCAUCUACAAGAUGGUGUCCUCCAUGAUGAAGAUGCCUGAGGACGAGACCAUGCCCAAGAAGCAAACAGACAAGAUCUUCAGACAGAUGGACACAAACAAAGAUGGCAAAAUGUCCCUGGAUGAAUUCAACAAAGGUGCCAAGAGGGACCCAUCCAUUGUCCGGUUGCUGCAGUGUGAUCCCAGCAGUGCUAGCCAGUUCUGAGGGGAAUAGGCUUUUACACAGUUGUGAGAAACACAGGUUUGACUUGCCAUCUUCAGCUUUGCUUGAUACAGUGGUUUUCUCCGUGAUUUCUCCUGCUCUCUCGGGACCUGGGUCCAGGCAGCAUAACACACUCACCUGGUCUGGCUGGAUGCAGCUCCCUCCUCUGUCUGAUCCAAUAGAUGUCCCUCCCCAUCCAGUCCAGGAUGGUUUCUUCCAAGGUUUCAAGUGUUCUGGGCUGUAGGGCUCCUUCCCUGCCCACAGAGGGCCUGGAGACCCUUAAGGACACCAGACAGGACAUUUCAGUAUCUUACUGAGACCAGCUGAUUUAUUCUAUGAUCCCAGGUGAGUUUGUGAGGAUGAAGAAGAUGGAGAGUAGAUAGGCAAGCCCUUCCUGUGCAUGGCUCCACCUCCCUUGUUCAUUUUCUCCGACCAAAGCUGCUUGCAUGUAUAUACUGCAGUGUCCUUACUUUUAAUAUAUAAGUUUUGUAUAAAGUGAGAAGGUUCAGCCCCUGUAUUUAAAGCCUCUGACUGCCUUUAAAGCAUGGUCCCCUGUGGCCUG